UACAGAGGUCCCAAGCGUUGUUCGGAUUCAUUGGGCGUAAAGGGUGUGUAGGUGGCGCCGUAAGUCGGGGUGUGAAAUUUCGGAGCUUAACUCCGAAACUGCAUUCGAUACUGCGGUGCUUGAGGACUGGAGAGGAGACUGGAAUUCAUGGUGUAGCAGUGAAAUGCGUAGAGAUCGUAAGGGAAGGCCAGUGGCGAAGGCGAGUUCCUGGACAGUUACUGACGCUGAGGCACGAAGGCCAGGGGGAGCAAAACGGGG
rnacentral:rRNA from 1 species